UAUCUCUGUAGAGUCUGCAUAUCAAUAAGCGGAGGAAAAGAAACUAACUAGGAUUCCCUUAGUAACGGCGAGUGAAGCGGGAAGAGCUCAAAUUUGAAAUCUUCAAGGUUCUACCUUGACGAAUUGUAGUUUAAAGAAGUGUUUUCUGUUGGAGUUUUGGUAAAAGUUCUUUGGAAUAGGACAUCAUAGAGGGUGAGAAUCCCGUAUUUGACCAUUACUUUCCAGCGUUGUGAUACACUUUCAAAGAGUCGGAUUGUUUGGGAAUGCAGUCCCAAAAUGGGUGGUAAAUUUCAUCUAAAGCUAAAUAUUGGCGAGAGACCGAUAGCGAACAAGUACCGUGAGGGAAAGAUGAAAAGAACUUUGAAAAGAGAGUUAAACAGUACGUGAUAUUGUCAAAAGGGAAGCGUUUGACACCAGUGUUGUUUUCUCGAAAAUCAAUUAAAAAAGGCAGGAUUUUGUGUUGUAUUGACUUUAUCAGCUUUCUGCACUCUUUUCUUGUCUUUUUUUAAUGACACUUUUCGUUUAACAAGUCAACAUCAAUUUCUUUUGUUGUAAAAGGGUCAUUGGAAGGUGGCUUUCUUUUCGGAGAAAGUGUUUAUAGCCUUUGGCCUCUGCAAUCGGAGAGAUUGAGGUCUGCAGCGUAGAUCCUUCGGGGUUAGAUACAUUUGUGCUAAGUUAUAGCCUUUCAUAGACAACUUGUUGACUAUGAUCAGUCAUGUAGCUUACUCGCUUAUGCUAUUUUACCUACGCUUAGGAUGUUGAUAGUCACAGCGUGUAC
rnacentral:rRNA from 1 species